CUGGAGCUGGUCUGACCCCCUGGUUCUGCUGAGUGACCUUGAGCUAUCACUUUCCCAAUAAGUGUGCAACAGGAUGGCAUUUCUAACCACAGGAACAUUUAAAGGAUUAGCUGUGGCCCCUGAGGCUUUUUAGAAAAGGUAAAGGCAAUUAAUUCUUACUUAUCCAGUACUGGAUAGUUUAAAAGACAGACUCUGCAUUGUCUAGAUUAUGGAAAGCCUUGGAUCCCUUACUUCUAAGAACCAUAAUCAGCUUAAAAAGGCUUGAAACUGUGAGUGCUCAGAAUUUCCUGUUGAGGAUCGGCACUGACGCUGUGGUUGCUCCCAGGAAAUGAAGCAGGGUCAGGUAACAGCCUCAAAGACCUGGGUCACGGAGAAUGUGACUCCUGACAACAUUCCCUUAAGGGGAACUUGAGAAUGGAAAACAAUAAAGGAGAAUCCUGGGCCCUCACGUGUGAGGGUACAGAAGUGGGGUGAGAGGACCAAGUAGAAGCCAAUCCCAAGGGAUUUAGGAACAAGUAUUCCUUGAAACAGCAAACACCAGCAAAUGCCUAACUUCGCUAUUCUGCAGUUUACUGGCCAGGAAGUGAAAUGCCUCGCCAAAGACUUUGCAAGGGAAAGAUAACAUCUGUGGGGGAAUGUUUGGAUUCAGUCUUGGCUUUUGGUGGAGGAAGACUCAUCAUUCUGUUUGGGAGAAGCAAGAAAACACAUUAGUUAUGUGACCAAAGCUUGGUGGAAAGGAAUGUACCUUUAUACAUUUUAAAACACAGAUGCUGUCUUGAGUCUGGCACCUGUUAACCUGGCACUUAGACCGCUUGGCCGCAGUGCGAGAUGACUGGACCAGAGGCUGCUGCAUCUCAGUAAAAAGUAGCAGAGGAUGUCCUGGACUGAGAACAGAUUAUGUGGGAUCUCCCAUAUCUUCUCAACACAGAAGUCAUCUGCAUGGAGAAUGUGUACUCAGUUCUGCCUGAGUUACCAAAGGAAUCUUCUUUCCUCCCCCUCGUACUGUUCUUGGGGAGGUGGAAAGGCAGAUUAUACUUUCUACCAUAAUUUCAAUAGUUGUUCAAGCAAAAGGAUGAAAACAACGAUUUUGGUCUAACUAUCUUGUUUAAACAGGAAAUGAAACCGGUCAAGAAGCCUAUUCUCUAAGCAUUCCCUGAACAUUCUACUUCCUAUGUUUCUCAAUCCACUGUCCUGUGUCCCCAAACUGAUGUAAUAAGAAUUAAAAUGAUGUCCAGAUUGAAAUCUUAGACUUACCUAUGACUCAUUAAAUUCUCAAAGGAUAGCUUCAGAUUAUGAGGGAUUAUCAAAGUUCUUGGUUGUACCUGAGGAAGAAAAUCUCAUUUAGAGCAGUGCCCCAACCUCUAUUCUAAUUUAAAUAAAUAAUGCACCACCUUAGCGAACUCAAGUUGUAUCUAGUAUUAGAAUCAUUCACAUAUUCUUUUGUGACAUGAAUGAACCAGAGGGGAUCACCUACCCACAACUCAUAAGGUCUAUGCUCUUCCCAGGUUAUCAGCUUUUAAAGUUAGAAACCUCAAGAUUGGUAAACCCUCCCAUUCUCUUCGUGGAGCUCACCUCCAAUAUCCUUCAGGUCUCAGAGCACCUGUCAGCCCCUCACAGACACCACUGACUCCCGGACCACUGUUAGGUAGUCCUCUGCCUUCCAUUCUCACUGUUUCCUAGGCUUCCUCUAUCAGAAUAUUCCUAAGGUUUUUAUUGUAUUUACUUGCUUGAUGUCUGGUUUCCCUCAUAGACUUUCAGCCUCACCACAUGUCUCUGUUUUUGUACUUCCAGGUUCUAACACAGUGACUGUUUAAGAAGUAUUUGUUGAUCAAAUUUGUGAAAUGAAUGAACCCCUUUUGAAGCACACUGGAAAGUUUUAAGUGUGUCCUUCACAUAGGACUAAAAUAAAUUAUAUGGUUACAGUAUUCCCGAUUAAGACAUUAUUUUCUUGAACUUUUCCAGGUUUGUUACUAGCACUAGACAUUGGUUUUCUUUUGGGGCUCAGGCUUUCACUGAGAAUCAUAUUCCCCCCAUUAUUUCUCAAAACGUAUUGUAGCCAUGACAAUGAAAAGACAGUAACAAAAUGUGAGUGCAGAUGUUCAGCUGGGCUACUCAUUGAGUGACUUGCGAUUUAAAUUCAUGACAGAGCAAGGGUGCCUGGUGGCUCAGUCAGUUAAGCGGUUAAGUGGUAAAGUGGUUAAGCAUCCAACUUCAGCUCAGGUCAUGAUCUCAAGGUCUGUGAGUUCAAGCCCCAUGUCCGGCUCUGUGCUCAGAGCCUGGAGCCUGCUUCAGUUUUGUGUCUCCCUCUCUCUCUGCACCUCUCCUGCUUGUGUUCGUUCUCUCUCUCAAAACUAAAAAAAUAAAUAAACUUAUGACACAACAAAACUGCAAAUUAAGGACCUUCAGAAGUGCUUGCAAAUAGAGAAAAAUCUGAAUAUUAAAUCUAUAGAAAUGCCAAGCACCUACUGUAUUUAAGCAGAUUGUUGUAACUCUUUAGUUGAGGGAAAGUGAGGGGAGGGGGAAGAAGAAAUGAUCCGGUAACCGGAGCAUCUGGGAGUGGUGAGGGCAGCAAAGACUUCGGUGAGAACCUGAGAAGAGGUUUCUAGAUACAUAGAAGGGAUGAGAAUGAAGGAGACACACUGCUUUUUUCCAAGUUUCUUCUGAAGUUGGCUCCGUUCUAAAGAAAUAUGGAGGAAACUCUCUACCUUCUCCUGAUUAGCAUGACCCCUUUUCAAAAGCCCCUAAAUCCAGCUAGUACUACUGUAUGCAUGAGUGGGCUACAGGGGCUCCCCCAGAACAAAGCUACCAUUUUGUCCCUGAGAAGAAGUGCGUCAUGUGGUCAACUCCUAUUCAGUCUUGAAAACCCUGCAUGGUCUUCUUCUUGGAAGACUUCCUGGAUAUCCACUUUCCAUGCUCGGCCCACCGGGUCCAUUUCUGUUUCUAUUCAUCAUUUUAUUGUCAUUAUUUGUUUAUCUGUUGGCUCCUUAAAGGCAAGGCUUAUGUCUUAUUCUUUUAUUUACUUAUUUUGCCUUCAUAGCCUAAGCACCUGGCCCAUGGUAAGCAAUCAAUACAUAUUUGUUUCAAUGAACUGAAUUACAUAGACUUUUGAAACCAGUUAAUUUACAUAUGUUAGAGAAUGCCUCUAACUUCCUACAGUAUGUUCACCUUGACAUCCUACUUUGAAGGGGCUUGAAAGCAUGUAUUAGAGAACAACGCAGAUAACAGAAGGACUACAAAAUAGAUGUUUUAAGGGGAAGCUCAGCUGUUUGGAGCAGAGAAGUGGCAAGAGACAGUUUACAUAAAAGUUAGGCGGAUACCCCUGGUGACUCACAACCAUAACUUUCAGUAGGCGUUACUUCCACACUAAAUAGUUGAGCUCCUGGUGUGGGGUACUCAUGCAGGUAUAUUAGUAGUUUAUACAUGCCAGGUCCUGUUUAGGAUUUUUCUGUUUUCGGUAUUCAUCCACUUUAUGCUUUUAUUUUUUUAAAUAUUUUUCUAGUGCUCAUCUUUUUGUAAAUCCAGACACCAUAAGAUUCACCAUCUCAGCGUACAACUCAGUAGUUUUUGGUAGUGUCACAAAGUCGGACAACCAUUGCCACUAUCUACUUCCAGAAGAUUUUCAUCAGCCCAGAAACUCUAUCCUCAUUAGCACUCAUUCUUCAAGUCUUUGGCAACCAUUACCCAUUUUCUAUUUCUAUAGAUUUGCCAAUGCUGGACAUUUCAUAUAAUGAAAUUAAUAUAACACGUGGCCUUUACUGCCUGGUUUCUUGUACAUAAUGAAAUGUUUUCAAGCUUUAUCCAGGUUGUAGCAUAUAGAAGUACUUUCUUUUGAUGGCUGAAUAAUAUUCCAUUGUAUGGAUUGAAUCACAUUUUGUUUAUGCAUUUAUCAGUUGAUAGACCGUUGAGGUAUUUUCAUUUUUUGGCUAUUAUGAGUAACGCUGCUAUGAACAUCCUUGUACAAGUUUGUGUAUGGACAUAUGUUGUCAGUUCUCUUGUGUAUAUAUCUAGUAUGGAAUUGGUGGGUCAUAUGGUGACUCUACAGUUUGAGGAAUUGCCAAACUGUUUCCUAAAGCAGCUGCAUUGUUUUACAUUCCCGCCAUGUGUGGGGGUCCCAGUUUCUCCAUAUCCUUGUCAACACUUGCUGUUGUCCACUUUUUUAUUUCAGCUGUUCUUGUGGAUAUAAAAUAAUAUCUCAUUAUGGUUUUGAUUGCAUUUUCCUAAAGGCUAAUGAUGUUAUGGAUCUUUUCAUGUGUUCAUUGGCCAUUUAUAUAUCUUCUUUGGAGAAAUGUUUUUUGAAAUUUCUUGUCCAAUUUGAAAUCGGGAUGUUUGUUUUUUAUUGUUGAGUUGUAAAUAGGGUUUUUUUGGGUAUAUUUUGGAUUCUUUUUUUCCCAUUCUGUGCAUUGUGUUUUCAUGUCCUUCGUGGUGUUCUUUGCAGCAAAAAAGUUUUUAAGCUUGAUGAAGUUGAAUUUAUGUAUUUUUGUUGUUAUUUGUGCUUUUGGUAACAUAUCUAAGAAACCAUUGCCUUAUUCAAGGUCAUGAAGAUUUACACCUGUUUUCCUCUAGAAGGUUUAUGUUCCAGCACUUACAAUUAGGUCUUUGAUCCAUUUGUAGUUAUUUUUUGUAUAUGAUGUGAGGAAGGGCACAGCUUCGCUGUUGUGCAUGUGAAUAUACAGUUGUCUAGGUACCAUUUACAUUAAUUUAUGUAAACGUAAAUUACAUUUAUAUUAAAUUAUCUUGACACCUUUGUUAAAAAUUAGCUGUUUGGGACCUCUUAUUCUAAUUCUUAUGGAGACUCCGGAUGUAUGUAAUUAAAUUUGAUUUUUUCUCGUUAAUUUUUUUAACUGUUCAAAAAUGUAAGGUUCUAUUUCUGGACUCUCAAUUCUGUCCCCCUGAUCUAUAUGUUUAUCCUUAGGCCAGUACCACAAAGUCCUGAUUACUGUAGCUUUAUAGUAAGUUUUGAAAUCAGGAAGUGUGAGUCCUGUAACUUUGUUUUUCUUUUUCAAGAUUGUCUUAAUUAUACUGCAUCUAUUGCAUUUCCAUAUGAAUUUUAAGAUCUGCUUGUUGGUUUCUUCAAAAAACUCAUAUGAGAUUUUGAGAACGAUUGCACUGAACGUGUAGACCAAUUUGGGAGUAUUGCCAGCUUAACAGUGCCAAGCAUUCCAAUCUGUAAUUAUGGUUUUUUUUCCAUUUGUUUAGGUCUUUUAAAAUUUAUUUAUAUGAUAUUUCAUAGCUUCUGAUGCACAAGUCUUGCAUUUAUUUUGUUAAAUUUAUUCCUAAGUAUUUUAAUUUUGUGAUGCUAUUGUAAAUGGAAUUGUUUUCUUAAUUUCAUUUUUGAAUUGUUCAUUGCUAAUAUAUAGAAAUAGAAUUGAUUUUUGUUAUACUAUCUUGUAUCCUGUAACUCUGCUAUACUCAUGUAUUAGUUUUAAUUGUUUUUUGUGGGUCCCUUAGGACUUUAUGUAUAUAAAAUUAUGUCAUUUGCAAAUAUAGUUUUAUGCCUUCCUUUCUAGUCUGGUUGCCUUUUAUUUUUUUUUUUCUUGUCUUAACUGCCUUAACUGGA